GCGGAAAAGAGAAGGAGACCUCUUAAUUUUAAGAUCAUGUGUGUCAUGUUUCUCAAUUGAGGAAAAUUGUACCAAAUUCUAAUCGCGAGCUUGAGGUGGGUGAUGUCCAAGUCAUAGAAGACUUAUUGUUGGACGCGAAAAUCUUAGAUGUUCAGUUAAUCAACUGAGAGGGAAGAGUAUUCAUACAGUUAAGUUAUUAUAUGGAAUGGAAAAAAAGAAUAAAAAAAAAUAUUCAAGGGAUAACCUGGAAGUUGGAGGAAGAGAUAAAGAAUUCUUAUCGUCAUUUGUUUAGUUGACAAGAACACAUUUUUAAAGAUGGGAGAAAUGUAAAAUCUUAUAAGCUCAAGAGUUAUCAAGUUAUAAAAAG
rnacentral:lncRNA from 1 species